GUCUAUGGCCGUGCCACCCUGAACAAGCCUGAUGGCUGAUCUCAGGAGCAAAGCAAGAUCGGGCCUGUUAGUACUUGGAUGAGAGAUUACCUAGAAAGACCAGGUACUAUAGACA
rnacentral:rRNA from 1 species